CAGUUUAGUAGUUUAAUUAAAGAAUUCUAGCUUUGGGGGUUAGAGGUCUCGGUUUAUGAGUUGGCUGG
rnacentral:tRNA from 1 species